AUACUCUACAGACCAAUAUUUCGCAGUAAUUUCCAUGUUAAUUUGCUUUAUAACAUGGUAGUUUUUUGUAUAAUGCUGAUCCAUAAAACUUUUUUAUUUCUCAGCCGAGUAGCAUAGUUUAGAGUCUGUCAGUUUGUGUUGGUGUGUUUGGCUAUAUCAACGUGGCAACGUCGAUGAAAUUACCAUGUAAAAUUGCAUGCCACGUAAAUCAUGCUUAUAAGAUACUGUUAUACUUUCAGCCUUCAAACAUCAUUAAUAGUUCAUAAGCUUAUUGGCAAAUCAUGUCAACCAUAAUAUGUCACGUGAAGAGGCUUUAUACCUGAUAAA
rnacentral:lncRNA from 1 species